UAACUCUUUUUUAUGUUUUAUUUAUUUUUGAGAGCAAGAGAGACAGAGCACAUGCAGGGGAGGGUCAGAAAGAGAGGGAGACAGAAUGUGAAGCUGGCAGGCUUCAGGCUCCAAGCUGUCAGUACAGAGCCCAACGUGAGGCUCAAACUCACAGACUGCAAGAUCAUGACCUGAGUCGAAGUCGGACGCCUAACCGACUGAGCCACCCAGGCACCCCUUGGAGAUGAGAAAACAGACUGGAGGAUAAGCUUGUUAGUUGAUAGAGCUAAGAUUUGAACCCAGAUCAGUUUAAUGCCAGAAAACCCAGCAUAUUGCCGCUGUAAGGCAGAGUUGUAGUGGAGAGGUGGACGUGGCAUGUCCCCUCUGUUCAAAGAACUUGCAAUCUGUUGUCUGUUUCUCCUGAUGCUCCCGAUUCUGAUGUGAUUUCCGCAAAGGCUCCUACUCCUGAUGGCACAACUGGGAAUAGUCACGUGUUGGAUUACCCAAAGCUCAGCAGAAAACAUAAUGAAUAAAAGUGACGCUUUAAGAUGAAGCACAUAAGAAGUGAUGGGUGGGAGAGAAAUUUUGGUAUGUGACUCACCUCUUUCUUGCGAAGAUGCCCACUGGUUCUCCAAAUCAAUAUAGAAUGAACUCAAGACAAAUUUGUGAUUGAGAGCUCAUGCACAGAACAUCUGAAGCCUAAACAGAUCCUGCCAUUGACUGAGAUGGUGAUGAAUGCAAACAAGGCAAGAGAAGAAGGAAGCGUAUUGCCAGGUGGGGGUGAGAGAUAGAGGUCAUCAAGGCUACUAUGGGAGUGACCAGCCAGGACACUGAUCAGUGGUCUGUCCAGUUCUAGCCUGCUGAGUUUUGGGAAGAAGCUGAGGAGUUACCAAUCCAUUUCAAUCUAAACUUCUUGCAGCCUCUGCUAAUUCCCCUUUGGGUGACGCUUGCUGUUCAUAUUCCAUGCCAUCCACAUUGGACUUGAUCACUUCCUUGUUUGGAGGCUCUUAAGCUGUAGUGACUCAGAAUUUAUUGAGUCACUCAAUACUUAUUGUAUUAAGAUAGAAUUAACAUGCUAUGAAAUUCAUCCUUCUCAUAUAUACAGUUCAGUGGUUUUUUUAGUAUAUUCACAAAGUAGUGCAGCCACUACUGCUAAUUACAGGACAAUAUUCAUCACCCGCAAAGGAAACUUCGUAUCUAUUAGCGAUUGUGCCUAUCAUGCUUAUCCUUCCCUUCUCUCCACUCCUGGAAACUACUGAUGUACAUUCUGUCCCUAUGGAGUUGCCCCUUCUGGACAGUUCAUUCAUUCAUUCUUCAUUCAUUUAAGGUUUAUUUUGAGAGAGAGAGCAUGCGUGAGCACAUGCGUGAGCGGUGAGAGACAGAGAGAGAGCGAGACAGGGAAUCUCAAGCAGGCUUUGCACUGUCAGAGCAGAGCCUGAUGCUCGAACCCAGGAACCACGAGAUCAUGACCUGAGCCGAAAUCAAAAGUCAGACACUUAACUAACUGACUGAGCCAUGCAGGAACCCGUGGACAGUUUAUUUAAAUAGAAUCAAAUAAUCUGUAGCCUUUUACAUCUCAAGGUUUAUCUAUAUUGUAGCAUGAAUCAGUGCCUCACUUCUUUUCAUAAUUGAAUAUAUUCCAUUGAUGAAUAUACCCCAUUUUUAAUCCAUUCAUCAGUUGAUGGACAUGUGGACUGUUUCUACUUUCUGGAAAGCGAUUGUGAAUAAUGCUUCUACGAACACUGUACAAAUGUUUUUGUGGACAUGUGUUUUAAAUUCUCUUGGCUGUAUACCUGGGAGGGGAGUUGCUGAGCCAUGAGGUAACAUUACGUUUACUUUCUGAGGAGCUGUCAGAAUGUUUUCCACAGUGACUGCACCAUUUCACAUUCUCACGAGUAUAUAAGGGUUUCUAUUUCUCUACAUUCUCACCCACACUUUUUAUUGUCUGUCUUUUUUACGACAGCCAUUCUAGGGUGUGCGUGGAGUUGUAUUUCCCUGUGGUUCUGAUUUGCAUUCUCCUAAUAUGUUAAGCAUUUCUUCAUAUUUAUUGAUCCUUUGUAUAUUUUCUUUGGAGAGAUGUCUAUUUAAAAAUACUUUUAUCACUGAGUGGCAAGAGUCUUCUAUAUGUAUUCUCAAAACUCACUUUUAAUUAUAUAUUAUGUAUUAAUUACGUACUAAUCAACUGAUUACCACAGUAGUUUCUUAUUACAGUAUAAUCCUCAGCAUGCUGACUUCCUGUGUGGCUUUUUAACUUAAUAGUUUUUGUCUUGCUUGACAAUACAGCUUUCUCUCAGUAUUUUCUCCAAUAGCUGUGCUCUUGCCUGAGUAUGGUCCCUAGGCCUCCGUAACAAUAAGAAGGAUGCAGGCCACUGUUGGAGGAGCAAAGAGUCAUUUCCUAAUUGGAGCCGUGUUAGUUUUUAUUGGUACAUACCAAAUUACUUCAAGCAGAGAGGCUUCAAACAACACAUGCUUAGUAUCUCACAGUUUCCAUGGAUCAGGAGUUGGGGCAUGGCUACGCUGGGUCCUUGGUUCAGAGUUGCACAAGCCAGUAAUCAGCUGUGCUAUGUUCUCAUCAGAAGCUCAAAUAGAGCAAGAUCCACUUCUAUACUUCCUUAGCCUGGAAUGAGGAGUGGCAGAAUUUAUCUCCUUGCAGCUGGAGAACUCAUAGCCUUCAAGGCCAGAAUCUUGUAAUGAGUCUCUUGGCUGAGGGAGGGACCUGGUGUCUCUUCUAGGGGCCUUUACUUGAUUAAGUCAGGCCCACCCAGGUGCUCUCCCUGUUGAUUAACUCAAGCCAAGUGAUUUGGAACCAUAAUUAGAUCUGCAAAAAUUCUUUCAUCUCUGCUACAUUCUUAAAAAAAAUUUUUUUUAAUGUUUAUUUAUCUUUGAGAGAGAGAGAGAGAGAGAGAGAGCACAAGCAGGGGAGGGGCAGUGAGAGAGGGAGACACAGAAUCUGAAGCAGGCUCUAGGCUCUGAGCUGUCAGCACAGAGCCUGAUGAAGGGCUCAAACUCAGAAGCUGUAAGAUCAUGACCUGAGCUGAAGUCAGACACUUAACCGACUGAGCCACCCAGGCACCCCUCACCUUUGCUAUGUUCUAUUGGCUACAAGCAAAUCCUACGUCCCAUCCACAAAGUUGGUGGUGGGGGGUUGUUGUACAAGGGUGUGAGUCACUGGGAGCUACCUUAAGGUGUUUCUUAUAGGACAGUAACUGGAAAAGGGCUUCCCCCUAUUAAGCAAAAAAAACCACC